rnacentral:misc_RNA from 1 species
GUGUGUGUGUCCUCUGUCGGUGCACUUAGCACAGAGGAAAAAAGAAAGAAAGAAAGAAAGGAGCUAUCCCUAUUCCCACAGGCCUCUCUCCUUAAUGAAUAACUAUUUGUUUAAGGGGAAGAGAGAAGUGUGGGGAAAUUGAAAACUAAAGUAGCAGAGUGUGUGUUCUCUCUCGUCAAUUUUUCAUUAAAUGGUCCUCCCCACCUCCCAUUAAUGACUCUACACAAAUUGCCAGACUACUCUCAUACUUCUCAUUAACUCUCCUCCGUUCCCCGAUCCCAUCUCCGACCCUUCCUUUUAACCCAUCUGCCCUACACGUGUCUUCCCCUUUUGUCCUUUCUUUACCUUCUGUUCAAUCUCUCCGGUGACAGCAGCGCCUCCGGAUCCCCACACCUUAGUCUGCUCGACGAGAAUGCUGCCACCGAUGAUCUUAUGAACAUUGGACUCGCCAUCGACUUGCUCCGCCGAGAUGACCCCCCUCCUCCUCCUCCGCCGCUUGUUGGGUAUCUCUCUGACAAUGGGAAGAAUCCUCCCCUUCGUCUGAAAAAUGGUGAUUUCAUGCCUCUGUAAUGUCUAAAUGAAAAUACCCUAUGCUUUGAUAAUGAUCCAAAUGGCGAUGGCCGUUUACUCCAGAAGCUUCCCCUCCGAUACCGCCAUGGUGACGCUGUCGCUGGUUCCAUCACCAACAUCCUCUCCGAUGCUAAGCUGCGUUCAAACCCAAAGGAGUAGGACCGUUUCAACAAGAAAUCACGCCCAUUGAAUCGAUCCUCUGACUGACUGUAAUUGUUCAAAUUGUUGAUAUUUCUUCUCGAUGAUGGUUCCUCAAUACAGGGAGUGAUCUCUGUUAUCGUCGUUACGGUGGUUGCUGCUGUGGUACUGGCAUGAGAAGGAGGUGGAGUUUGAAUUAUGGGUUCCAGAUUAAUACUAUGCAGAAUUGUAUCAUCGAGGCUCGGUCGGAUUCUGGCUGCCAUCACCGGAAUAAACGGGGACUCCGACCGGAAUAUUCUGGCACGGCAGAGAGGACAGUUAGCGUGAGACCUUAGCCAGAUAUC